rnacentral:lncRNA from 1 species
GAAAUGAGAUCAACAUGCGUACUAUGAACAUUUAAGCGUUAAGGACCCUUUUGUGGAAGUAACAGGAAUGUUGAAACCCUAACAUUUGAACUCCAGGGAUGUAUAAGUGUGUAAACAAACGUUAGCAAUUAUAUAACCAAAAAGGACCCAACUAGAAGAGCAAACUUAUCUAAAGACAACAUUUCUAUGUAGCAACAUUCCUGGAGCGCCUUCAUGUGGAGUAUAUUUCUCCCAGUUAUAACAACAUUCCAGAGCUUCAUUUCUUAUCACGAUUUCCUUGAUAGAGUGUUGCUGCUAAUAAGAAAGUUAUCUUACCAACAGUUCUUAGAGGUGAAGUUUAAUGUUAUUUAUUCACAAAUUUUAUGGACGUCAUCAUCAGUUGGUUGACAAUUAUUGAGUACCUGUUACACAGAUGAUGAUGAAUAUGUUUCAAUUUUCGUGACCCAGACCCGACCACAUUUCUCUUAGAAUAUGAUCUACCGAAUUAUUUUUGUUCACAAAACGUGUACUUACAUUAUAAAGAACACGAUUGGUGCCACGUAUAGUAGAAUUUGCAUCCC